CGGAUCGGCCCCGAAAAUUGAUGGCGCUCGAACGCAACCCUCGAACCCCCGCCGACGGAGGCUAGGGGAGGCCCCGUCGAGUAGGCGGACGCGCGGGUCGCUUCGACGCUCCCGCGCGAGCGGGGGCGGAGCGGCCCGUGGUGCAGAUCUUGGUGGUAGUAGCGAUCACCCAGGCGAGAACCCCUGAGGGCCGAAGUGGAGAAGGGUUUCUCGAGAACGGCACUCGCUCGAGAGUUAGUCGAUCCUAAGCUGCCGGCGGCAGCCACGAAACGGUCGAUCGGGCGCGAGCCCGGCAGCCACGACCGGGCAGCGAAAGGGAAUUGGGAAACCUCCUUCCCAAAACCCGGAACCGGAACGAGGGCGGCGACGCGAACGAAACGGCCGCGGAGACGGCGGCCGCGG
rnacentral:rRNA from 1 species